CUUGGAAGCUGGUUUCAGGUGGUGGCUUAGAGUAUUGUCAUCUAUCUAGCACCAUUUGAAAUCAGUGUUCUUGGGG
ensembl:miRNA mir29b-2 microRNA mir-29b-2